GUCUAUAGUUGCCACGUAGGCAACCAACCGACAAUAAAUAAAAUUGCGCACUUAACGGUGUUGACAGAAUAAAAUUACUCACCUCCGUAAUUUACAAAUUAUUUAACUUCUCCAGUUGUCCUGAACCGUAAAAUGGCCUCUUCGUCUAAACAGUCUGUUAUUGAGUCACACCUGAUUUACAAAACCUGCCUGGGUAACGGCUCGUUUGGCAUAGUCAUGAAAGCCUUGGACUCAUCUUCGACUGCCACCGCAGUAAAGUUUUUAUUCCCAUCCACCGAUCCAAAGGAUUCUAAACAGCUAGUAAAUAUUUCUCGCGAGUGCACCAUUUCCCGCAAACUAGCACACCAUCCCAACAUUGUGAAAGUGUUGUCGGUUGUUGAACGCAAAUUUUCCGUGUUCGAACUGAAAAAUAUAUUCCCCGAUUCAAUAUUACAAAACGAGGAACAACAAGCAUUAAGAGAUACAUUUCUCGGCAAAGCAAAGCGGGAAAAAGAAAUUUCUGUAAUUCAAAUCCAAAUGGAACUAUGCGGCGAGAACUUACGAAAUUGGCUAAAUUCUCCGGAUUCGAAUAAUAGCCCAAGUCUUAACAGAGUUCAAUUUACGAUCGUAAAAAAUCUUGUGUCUGGUUUGGACUAUUUGCACGACAACAAAAUUAUUCACCGUUCUUGAUUUUGCCUGAGAAACACAUCGAGUUGCAUCCUCUUGCAAUACACGAUGAGUUAGUUUGUAAUAAUUGCUGGGCGAAAUAUUAGAAAAUCUGCUGCUAACCUUAUGAUUAAUGCCUCGAACCUCAAACUACCUCUAAUGAGCUCACGGAAAUUUAUUCCGACUACUCCUUUUAAUUUUUUUUUCACAUGUAAACAGUAUUACCCAUUUCUUUUGUUUCGAUGAAUUUUUCCUGCCGAAGUAGCUUAAUCGAGGCAUUCUUAGCAGCUGUGCGUGCCGAUUUAAUUUCGGAGCCUGAAAGGCUGUAAUUUAAAACAUAUUUUUAUGAAUUUAUGAUAUAAAUGCGAUGAGAGUACUGGGUUUUUCUAAAUACCAUUUUGAUGCUGAUCGAUUACCCUUCUGAAAGCCUGCUGAGUGUAUUUCCUUCUUCCGGUUGUUAGAUUCCUCUUCUGACUCAAAGUUUAUCUUAAACAUUUCACGUCGAGCUGAUUCAUCAGGAAGUGAACAUAUAUUGUCGUAUCAAAACGUCGUUGAAAUGCAUUAUUCAGAUUUUGAGGUGUAUUGGUGGCCCCCAGACCCGAUUGAUGGUCAGAUUGGUUGCGGAUGAUUCUGGAACCUCAUACUACAUUAAUUACAGGCGAACAUUAAUUUAAGUAAUCCUAGAUUUGUUACUAAAGUGUAUUUUUUUACAGAUGAAGGACAGACAAAGCUCGUCCAGCUUUUAGAUUAAUCCUAGUCUCAGGUAACUGUAGCAGGAACGAAUGACAUGGACUUAGAUAUGGACGAAAAUUAUAAUAAAAGUCCCUAGAGCAUAGCAUUUUCUUUCAAUUUUGAUAGCAUUUUCAUGUAUUUAUGUAGGUUUCUGGAGCUAUAUCUGUACUGGACGACUCCAAAUCUCCUCACUCGCAAAGAUUUUCUUCCUAUAUUCUUGACAAUUUGAAGUCACCUGAAAUAACUUGCCAGGUUUAUGAAAUCCGGAGCAGUUUCUGUAAGAUCAGUAAAAGGGAUUAGUGCGGUCGAUGACUAAUUACUGCUGGCUGAACGGAAGAGGAUGAAUAUUCAGACGGAUGGGAUGCAUUAUGGAAUUGUUGUUGUUCUUCUUUUCUUCUAACUUCUCCGAACUAAUUUCAGCAAAUCUUAGAGAGUUGGUAAGGUUACGUGACUAUCACGUAGUGAUAUCAUGUAAGAUCGCGAACCACGACAUGAUGUACGCUUUUAGGUGUAAUAACUCGUUUUAGAGAAAGAACGCUCGGAAGAAUGCGUUGUCCCUUUGAAGCUUCCGUAGUAUUUUCAGUUAUCCAAUACACAUCCUUGUAAUAAUUUUGUGGAUAAUUAGCCGAAAGAUUUCUAACGGGGGAAGAUUGAAGAAUACGUUCUAAAAUAUUUGACUUCACCGCCAUUGUGCUUAUGUGCAUAUCAGACAGUUGCGUAUUUCACCGAUUUCUACUUUUACAAAACUUCUGACAUUAACAUCAAUUUAGAUAACUUGAGUAUCACGCGGCAGCUUAUUAGGCAAAUAAAACUAACCAAAUAGACUAAUGUCAAUCAAAUGUAUAUCGAUAAAAUAGCUUCUCUGCUAAUAUUGUUUACUUCUCGGUGACUGUUAUUACUAGCACAGUAACACAUUUAUUACUAGUACAUAGCAAAUUCACCAUGCUGGUAAAUGGUUACAGAUAAGGUAAAUUGAUUGUGUUUGCGUUUAAAUUUUUAUUAACCUAUCACACAUUCUGGCAUUAGUACUCAACCGGAUAAACAACAAAUUCGAUUAUUCAGUUCUAUUUGACGAGUUAUGGCGAAUUUUUAUUAAAAUAUAAGCUGGAAAGCCGUUAACAAUUAUUACGACAAGUGUGUAAUAUUAUGUUAAGAUAGAUUUGUGAUUCACUUCGAAGUACCUUGAUUUUAGUAACAUUACCUGAUAUUAUGACAUUUGAUUUAUUCAAAAUUCGUAACAUCGAUAUUUUGGGAAAAUCCAGUGUCAAACAUAUUUCCUUAACGUAGAUAAACGGUUACAUUUCACGCCAAAGGAUGAAAUAUCGACUGCAGUAAAUAAGUUGAAAGUAGUUAGAUGUAGUGUAGGUGUGUGGGUAUUAAAUGCAAUGUGGAAUAAUAAUUACAACAUGAAAUUACUGUGAUGCUUUAGCAUUUCUGGUUUUAUUUAUUGAAACCAUGACAAAAAUAAUUUUAGCGAAAUUCAAAUUUGUCACCUAAUAUUAUAUUUAUUUUUCUAUUACAUUGCAAUAAAUUUGAGAUUUUUUAAUAUUAUAUUACCACCUUUUGAGGAAAUUAUACCCGACGCGUAUCAGAGUGAUGGUAAUUUUCCAUUACCUUGAAGUUUACUAAUACCGGAGGCGAAUGUGCGUCAGCGUCGUUUCACGAUUUGAGAAUGGGGUGAACGUAGUUCAUAAUAAUGUCUUCAUAUCGCCAAGGCAAAAAUAUUAGACAAAUUUAGUAUCUGUAAGAGGUUAUUCCAAGCUAUUUAUUAAUCUCAUAGGUGCUAGCAAUUAAGUACAUAAUAAUAUGAAAUUCAGUUUUAAAAUUAAUUAUCACAAAAGCUGUAUAUGAUAUUUUUUUUAAUAAUUCUUUUAUUUCAGAUUAUACUCACAUCAAAUUAGUGUAAUUUGUUUU